GAUGAACGCUGGCGGCGUGCCUAAUACAUGCAAGUCGAGCGAACGGACGAGAAGCUUGCUUCUCUGAUGUUAGCGGCGGACGGGUGAGUAACACGUGGAUAACCUACCUAUAAGACUGGGAUAACUUCGGGAAACCGGAGCUAAUACCGGAUAAUAUUUUGAACCGCAUGGUUCAAAAGUGAAAGACGGUCUUGCUGUCACUUAUAGAUGGAUCCGCGCUGCAUUAGCUAGUUGGUAAGGUAACGGCUUACCAAGGCAACGAUGCAUAGCCGACCUGAGAGGGUGAUCGGCCACACUGGAACUUAGACACGGUCCAGACUCCUACGGGAGGCAGCAGUAGGGAAUCUUCCGCAAUGGGCGAAAGCCUGACGGAGCAACGCCGCGUGAGUGAUGAAGGUCUUCGGAUCGUAAAACUCUGUUAUUAGGGAAGAACAUAUGUGCAAGUAACUGUGCACAUCUUGACGGUACCUAAUCAGAAAGCCACGGCUAACUACGUG
rnacentral:rRNA from 1 species